UAUUGAGUUGGACAAAAAGUUCAUUCAGGUUUUUCUGUAAGAUUUUAUGGAAAAAUCUGAACAAACUUUUUGGCCAACACAAUACA
rnacentral:miRNA from 1 species